rnacentral:tRNA from 1 species
GUCUCGGAUAGCUUAAGAGAAGAGCAGUUGGCGCAAUACUAAAAGAUCCAGGUUCGAGUCCUGGUCUGGGCC